AUGUUCAAGGCGCAGCUGAAUCAGCUGUGCCAGCAGCGGCGGUGGCCGCCGCCGGACUACGCCCACCAGAGCGAGGGGCCGGCCCACUCGCUGAGGUUCCGCGCCACCGUCGCCGUCAACGGCGAAGUGUACCACUCGCCGGACGAGGGCGGCGGGUUCGGCACGGCCAAGGAGGCCCAGAACCUCGCCGCCAAGGCCGCCUUCGAGCGCCUCUCCGCCCUCCCGCCCCCUCCCCCGCCGCAGUCCGAAACCCAACUUCCCUACAAGUCUCAGUUGCAAGUUUAUGCUCAGAAGAGACAUAAAGAUUUGCCUUCAUAUGACACCAUUCGAAGUGGUCCACCUCAUGCACCUCUGUUCAGGUCUACAGUAACCAUAGAUGGGCGCAAAUUUGAAAGUCCUCAAGACUAUCACACAACAAAGGAGGCAGAAUUUGCUGCUGCAAGAGUGGCUUUAAUGUCAUUGUGCCAAGAAGCAAACCCAUCAGAGCAAAUGCCGGCUGGAUCAGCUUCAUGUAUUUCUUUGCCUGGAAUCCAGAUUAAUCAUAAGCUUCAAUUGCAAAUGUAUGCUCAGAAGAGAGGAAAACAACUGCCUUGGUAUGACCGUAUCCAGGAAGGUCCAUCUCAUGCACCUCUGUUCAAGUCAAUAGUGACCAUAGAUGGGCAAACAUUUGAAAGCCCACAGUAUUGUCAUACAAUUAAGGAGGCGGAAUAUGCUGCUGCAAAUCUUGCUCUGGUGUCCUUAGCCCAAGAAGUAAGCUCAGAGGAGCAAUUGCCGGUUCGAGGAAUGCAAUAUACAAAUCCCCGGCAUGAAUUAGCUGAGAAAGAAGGCUCUUCCUUGCCUGUCUGUAAUACUUCAUCAGAUAAUUUAAAAAAUUCCUCCAUCUCCAAAUCAACCGUGCACACUCAAGGCGAAAGUUUUCAGGAGGGACCUGGUAACACUAAGAAGCAAAAACAGAUGACGGUUGCUGCUUUUCAACCUUCCAAAGACAUAGGGUCACAGAUGCAACAAGGAACCGAAACCCUCACUGAGCAAGAGGUCAAGACUGUAGAAUCUGAUUCUUCAUUUCCCCAAGUAUCAAUGGGAACAAGUGACGGGCAGAAUGACUCUAAUGCUACUGAGCAUGAUUCUUGCUCUGUUGGCUCCCGUAUUGAUCUUCCUGUUGCUGACAAAACACAAUCUCUUGAUGAACCUAUCCAAUCUGGCAGUAUGGAAAAUGUUAAACCAGCUGCUCCAGAGCCAAGCAUCAAGGCUGAAGUAAUGGACUUGACACAAGAAUGCAGGUCACCCCCGUUAGUUUCAGUGCCACCAACUGAUAUGCUCAACCUUGUGGCAACAAGUACAGUGCCUGUUGCUUUACAAUCUCCUGUUGAAACUAUCCAGCCUGUCAAGAUGGAAAAUGAUAAACCAGCCAUUCCAGAGCCAAGCACCGAGGCUGAAGUAAUGGACGUUGCAGAACCAAGUGCUGAGGCUGAAGUAGACGUUCCAGAGCCAAGCAUCAAGGCUGAAGGAAUGCACGCUGCAGAACCAAGCGCUGAGGCUGAAAUAGAUGUUCCAGAGCCAAGCAUCAAGGCUGAAGUAAUGAACUCAACUCCAGAACACACAUCUCUCCCCUUUGGCUCAAUGCCACCAACCAAUACUUCCAACCUUGCGGCGAAAGCAACUGCAGUGCCUGUUGAUUCUGCCCGAUGCAGUUACUCGAUGUCAACUAACCGAAUCCAGAUCUACCCAUGCCGUCCUGACCUGAAAAUGAAAUUACCAGAGGGGGCAACCGUGCUUCCCUUUAGUGACGACAAGUGGGUGGCUGUGAGCUUACCUUUUCCUUGA
rnacentral:rRNA from 1 species